rnacentral:lncRNA from 1 species
GUCCAAGGGGAGCAUGUGGACUAUGACUCCUCCCAUGGUCCUUGGUGGAUCGCAGCACAGAUUAUGCGUAGGGCUGCGUGCACCCAUGCUCUUGGGCCAUGCACCUACAUGCACCCACACUGGCCCACACGCAUAGCAGGCUCCGCUAGGCCGCAUGUGUUAUAGGCCCCAUACGUUGCAGCGGGCCUAGGCAUCUGCAGACCUGUGCGCCUAUGUCUGCUAACCCCAAUCUGUUGGGCUUCUCCAUCUUGGGUUUUUCUUCUAUGGGCUUCUCUAUUGCGGGUCGAAUUUGAGGUGUCAAAUCCAACAAUCUUCACCUUGACUAGACAUUCGAUUUCCACCUAACUCCAAGAGCUUCGAAUAAUCUCGCUCCCAUGCACUGGGGUAUAUGCCUGAUUGCUUAUGGAUAGGUAAAUAUGGAAGUCGAGUCAAAUUGCUCAAUCUUAUAUCCAUCAUAUGCUGUGAUCUGUCUGACCUGAAACCUACUCGUGGUAGCCUCAUGUGGCAAUAGGAACUUCACCCUACAAUGUCGUAUGUCAUCCUCCCAAGUC